UACGGAGGGUGCAAGCGUUGUCCGGAUUUAUUGGGUUUAAAGGGUGCGUAGGCGGCCUUUUAAGUCAGUGGUGAAAUUUUGUAGCUCAACUAUAAGACUGCCAUUGAUACUGAAGGGCUUGAGUACAGAUGAGGUAGGCGGAAUUUAUGGUGUAGCGGUGAAAUGCAUAGAUACCAUAAAGAACACCUAUUGCGAAGGCAGCUUACUAAGCUGUAACUGACGCUGAGGCACGAAAGCGUGGGGAUCGAACAGG
rnacentral:rRNA from 1 species